rnacentral:rRNA from 1 species
GACAGAGGGUGCGAACGUUGCUCGGAAUCAUCGGGCGUAAAGCGCGUGUAGGCGGCAUCGCACGUCGGGUGUGAAAGCCCGGGGCUCAACCCCGGCAGUGCACCCGAAACGACGAUGCUAGAGUGCUGGAGAGGCGGGUGGAAUUCCUGGCGUAGAGGUGAAAUUCGUAGAUAUCAGGAGGAACACCGGUGGCGAAGGCGACCCGCUGGCCAGCGACUGACGCUGAGACGCGAAAGCGUGGGGAGCAAACAGG